UUGUUCUUGCAGUGAGCCUGUAGAAAAUCCAUAUUAAAAUGAGGUUAGGGGUUGAGACUUAAACCAAGAAAAGCAUGAACAAUCAGAGCAAAUCCAGGCUGAUAGUCUGUUCUUCUUUGCGUAAGUUUAGGACGGACCCUUAUAUGUGAUUUUUACUUUUAACUCUCAGCAUCCUGGUGCUGAUGAGCCUCCUUAGAUCAUGGAUAUUUCUGGACUGUGCAUAUUUUCAUGCUAGUGGAUCCAUAGGCAUAUGAUGAGCAUACCACUGUAAUUUGCAUUUUAAAGUAGUCUUAAAUAAGUUCUCAUGUCUGCAGCUGGGCUUUGAGAGGAUCGUGUUCCCUGGAGUUAGCCCAGGGCUAAAGAUCACACAUAGCUUUACUCUGUUCCUGCUGAAGCAAAACUGCUUUUAAGUCCAGGGGAGCAAAGUCAGCCUUGCUGAAGUCAGAAGCAAACAUGCCUUUGACUUCAGUGGGACACAGCUUUUGCCCAGCAUUAAUUUUUGCUUGUGAAAUGUCUCGAGGAAGAAAUGGAGAAAGGCCUUCUAAACCAAACCUCCCAGGGACUUACUAAUCACUCCUUCUUGCACAGGUUCACUGCCAUGUGAAUCCCCUGAAAUAUUACCUUGAGUGGAGCAGGAAGUUUGCCUAGAGAAAAUGACCUACAUACAAGGCAAGUGCCACGUAACACUUGCAGUUAACAUUUUAUUUGUUAGUGUAAUAAAAGCAUGUCAACAAUUCAGUCUUGCCAAAUUCCAUUUGCCUCUUUGGCUGGGAUAUGUAUUUUUUUCCUGAGGAGAGAGUAAAAUUAUGUUCAUUUGUUUCUUUACUAUGCUCCUGGCAAGGAGGAAGAUUUUGUGCCUGGGUUGAUAAAUAAAUGUUUGAGCAAAUUUUUUGAGGUUGUUAUUCUGAACCGCUGCCCAAAAAAAGUUCAAGGAAAAAUAAUCUGAGACUUUCUAUCAAUUCUUAUAACUACCUUUGCAAAUAAAUAUGGUAGGUCUUUCCUAGAAUAAUCCAAUAUGCCUCUAAUGUCACUAUCUCUGCAAAACUCAUUUCUUUUGUGAAAACUGCAAAUGUAAACAUUCCCUUUCAACCAGUGUCACUCACAAAUAAAUAACACAGAUCUUCCUUGAUGCACGUUGUGUCAAGAAAACAAUUUCCAUCCUCUUAUGCUUGUUACGUUUUCAUUUUUCCCAGAGGGAUUUGCAGUCAUUACGAGUCACUUUCCAUUUUGACUUGUAGCCUAAGCAGUUGAACACGAGUGUGAGGCUUCAAUAAAAGCUGCUCUCUGCAGUUAAGUGCGACCCCGGUUAAUGAGCAGGAAGAAGAAAAGCAAACACACUGAAAUAUCUGGAAAUCAGAAACCUGGAACGAUAAAAGCUAUAUAGGAAAAGAAGUACAGAAGGGCAAGCUGUGUUUUGCUGUGUCAAUACAGGAAGCAAAGCUCCAAAAGCUAUUAAAACCCAGACUCUUCCAAGCACUUGAAUGGGCACCAGAUGAAAUUUUGAUUAAUAAGCUACAGAAAUCAACAUGAUGCACAUUAAAUGGAUUUAAAAGCUGGGUAAAUUAUGGAGUUUAAAAUGAAAUUUUUUAUAGACAUAAACCAGAUUUCACAGGGUGUUACAGGUAACAGCUCUUUGCAUUAGGCUAGUUAUCAUUUUUAUUAAAGAACUAGAAAAAAAACCAUGACAAAGUGGUCCAUAAAGUAUAUUAAUAAUAGUUUGGGGAGUAAUGCAAACCAGGUAGCUCUGUGGAAAUGGUUGAGGAGGGCAUGCUUGGUAAUGCAAGGCUUAGGGAGCUCAGCCAGCCAAGCUCAACAAAGAGAAGAUAGAGGGAUGGCUUUAUCAUAGGCUAUAAAACUGCACAUGGAAAGGCAACCUGCUCAGAGAGGACUCAGUAUCUAGCAGGCACUUACUGGGUUCACGGUGAGUGGAAGGGUGAGGUUAGACCAGCUGAAUUUGAAUGAGAUAUAAGGCCAGCAAUGGUUAAUGCCUUCCCCAGUUAGUGGGGAAGGCAUUAACCCCAGGAACAGCUUGCUCUCAGAGGUGAGAAAUUCUCCAUUGAAAACACCUUGAAAACUUAGAUUGUAUCUUCUGAACAGAGUUGAAUUCAGGACAGUCCCAUGGCCUCUACUCUACUGGGCAUCUGAAUGAAUGAUCACAUUUAUGAUUUAACAUCACAGGGAAGUUGUGGCACUGGACAAGGAGUGCCUGACACUCCUUAUGUGUCAGCCAAAGGGUUUUCUGCCUUUCCUGAAUGUAGAUCAAGACUUGGAGUAUUUUAUGUGUCCAAGUAUGCAAAGCCAUAAACAAAUCCACUUGAAAGCACACAUCCCUUCCAUACUUUGGGUAACUUGGUGGACCUGGUGUCACAGCAAUGCAAUAACCUUAGGAAUGCUCUUAAUGCAGGGUCAUAUUCUGCUGCUGCUCCAAGAUCAAGCCAAAAGGAUUUUAUCAACUUCAGCAGCAUUUUACUGUAACAUAACUCAGAACUGAGUUUACCCUGACAAGUCAGCACUGCCAGUUGUCCCACAAGAAGGGAUGUGUUGGGUGAUGACAGGAGCAGGCAGUACAAGAAGGAAAGAAUAUAAGGAAAGUUAGAGAGGAAGGAUAAAUGCAGGAAAACUAUUAGAAGCUUGACAGAGGCUAGAAAGCAGAGAAACAGGAAAGCUGGAUUUUAAGCCAUGAUUUUGUGUACAUAAGAAAAAGGAGGAGAAGUAUUGCACAAAAGCAGGGAAAUUUGGGAGACCAGAAGAGAAAGAGCAUGUAUAUAAAGGAUGGGGAGAGAGAAAAGGAGAGGAAACAGAAACAUGUAUGUUAGUCUUCGUGAUCUUCUGUUACUUACUGAAUUAUUUAUUCCGAUAUUUGCUGGUAUCUUCCUGGCAGCCAUUUAUUGUCAUGAUACAAAUAUGAGCAGAGCCUGUUACUGCUGUUUCUGGAGGGAUUUUGAUGUUGAAUGGCAAUGGGCACCUCCCCCACCAACCUGCCAUUAGGCGAUUAUGAAUUAUAUGCCAAGUGCCUCUAAUAACUGAAGGGAAAGGGCUGCUCAGCACAUUUGGACUGUAAAUCUCAUUUUUUUCUCUUUUGUAGGUCAUGAAAUGCAGCCCUCUUCUAACCCCCCGUGCUCAGAUCACAAGCUCCCGCUGCACACAAAUUCCUCAGCCUAUCCUCUGCAAGGGUGACAUUUCACCCAACACUGAACCCCUCAGCAUCCUGUGGGCUUGAGAUAAGAUUAUUAUUAUUAUUGUUUCAAACACAGACGUGCUGCAUCAUGUCUCUUAAAAAUUCCUAUGUAGACGUUACACCACAUGGGAAAGCAGACUAUUAAAAAAACAUAUUUGCUGUAUUUCAAUUAAAAAGCAAAUACUUGAUUUUGGGGUUUUUUUCCCCCUCAUAGUCUGCAGAAAGACCCAGGGUACAAUUUGCAGGGAAUCUGCCCUUACUGGCCAAAACGUCAUAAGUGUUCACUGCCCAGCCCUUCUCAAGUAACCCAUAUAAGAGAACAAGCCCUUUUGGGCCCCAUAUAUAGAUCCUGAGCUCCUACAUCUC